rnacentral:rRNA from 1 species
GAUGAACGCUGGCGGCGUGCCUAAUACAUGCAAGUCGAGCGAACAGACGAGGAGCUUGCUCCUCUGACGUUAGCGGCGGACGGGUGAGUAACACGUGGAUAACCUACCUAUAAGACUGGGAUAACUUCGGGAAACCGGAGCUAAUACCGGAUAAUAUAUUGAACCGCAUGGUUCAAUAGUGAAAGACGGUUUUGCUGUCACUUAUAGAUGGAUCCGCGCCGCAUUAGCUAGUUGGUAAGGUAACGGCUUACCAAGGCGACGAUGCGUAGCCGACCUGAGAGGGUGCUCGGCCACACUGGAACUGAGACACGGUCCAGGCUCCUACGGGAGGCAGCAGUAGGGAAUCUUCCGCAAUGGGCGAAAGCCUGACGGAGCAACGCCGCGUGAGUGAUGAAGGUCUUCGGAUCGUAAAACUCUGUUAUUAGGGAAGAACAAAUGUGUAAGUAACUAUGCACGUCUUGACGGUACCUAAUCAGAAAGCCACGGCUAACUACGUG